GGGAAGAUGGCUCAGUGGUAGAGCUCUUGCCUUGCAUGCAUGAGGCCCUGGGUUCGAUUCCUCGAUUUCCA
rfam:Dipodomys ordii contig_25369, whole genome shotgun sequence.